ACGCCUCAAUGAAAAUGAUAUAUUCUACCGCAUACCGUUAGAGGGCGCCAAAUACCUCGGAUUACCUACCUUGUAUGAGGUAAAGGGCGAUAUACUUGUUGAUUUUGGGUUUUGACCCAACUGCUUACGAAUACGUUGUAAUUGGGGGAAUGAUAAUAAGUGAUAUAUUGUGAUUAUGAAUAUUACAGUUAUUAUAACCGCAGAGGAAUUAGGCUGGUAGGACUAAGAACUCUUCCUCACGCAUCACUUGACUCAUAAAACCCAAGGACGUCCAGGCCACGGAGUGUUAGGCCUACCAGGUGACUGAAAGAUGCACCUGAAUCGGUCUGACGAACGCAGUUUUGACAUCUCGGAGAAGUUUGGGUGUGAACGGACCACGGCAAACUCAGCACCAGAACGCACACGUACCACUCCAUGUCCCCAAAGCCCUGAGGGGAAGUUGGGAGACAAAGUCACCCUCCGAGUUCAGGACGCGGACUGCCUGACCGCCGCUCCUCGUCGCCAGCUCUCGUUGAAAACGAAGGCCCGCCGGCUUCCUUUCCCGCUCGAUAAACUUUGGUGUGACCGUACGGUAGGUAAGACAUAAGAUGAAAUUAAUCAUACAAACAGAUUCCCUGGACGGAGGCAACAACAACACCGUGACUGAAAAUCCUCGAGCCUGAAGUUCAAGGUUAUUUACAUGGUAGUUUAGCAGCCUUGUUCUUUUCCCUAACCAAGAUUUUUAAAAAUCAUUAAUCUCUUCCUGAUUUUAGUCUAUGUACUAUAUUAUACAUUUGAAGUCAAACAGGGACAAAAGUUCUAAAAGCAGAUCUGAUAUUAAGGUGUUCAGAUGAGCUCGACUACUCUGAAUGAACUAAUAUUUUUUACAAAUAUUUGUAACCUCAUGAUGUUUAAUAAAAGCCAGGAGAGAUGGUCAGGAUGGUUUAAUAAUCUUAUUUUUAAUAAUUCAAGAAUGACUACAGGAACACUGCAGACAUUGAGGAUCCAGCACCUUCCGGCAAGGAAUCAUAAAGCCUAGCUACUAAACAGCUGGGGACAAGUCUUCCUAUUAGAAGUGUAUCUCUUUCUAGAUUCCCAUGGCCAUUCUUUCAAAAAACUUUUUGUAAGAGUGCCUUUCAGAUAGAAGUCACACCCCCACACAGAAUGUUAUUCAUUUUCUGUCCCUUCAGGAUGAGAUUCGCUACCUUGUGAAUGUUCACUGCCUCUGUCCGAACGUGUAUUUACAUUUCACAGUUACCUAGAGACCUCUGCAUAUCUCAAAGGAAUCUCAAUACUCCCACAUAUUGACACAUCAACAAUCAGAAACGCAGAUAUUAGAGGAUGCUUAUGCAAUACUGUUUAACUAAAAGUAUAUUAAGAAUUGUAUCAUUUGUAGUCAAUUUAUGACAUCACUAAAUGUCACAUUUUUCAAUAAAGACCUAAUUUGAAAUAAAAGAAUGACACUGAUUCACCAUGGCUCUCCCCAUCAAGGGAUUCUUUCCCCACAUAUCAGUAGCCAAAUGGGGGAAAGAUCUUGAUACAAGGUCUGCCGCUGCGGCCAUAAUGUUGUUAUUUUCAUGAGUUUAUGAUACAUGAUCAUCCCAUCAUUUUGUGUAACAGUGAUGGGUGCGGUAAGAACAGGGUUACAUCCUUCGAACCGUGCGUUGCACUUUCUACUUCAGGGUUUCCUUCUGCCUACGGUUGACAUCCCUUGACCCGUCCCGUGUUUGAGGAAGAUAACAUCACCAAUCUGCUUUUCAGAGGCACACGAUAUACAUAAUCAGAUGGUCACCUGCUUCCCUUCCCAGCUUUCCUUUGUCUGUAUCCGCCGCAGUGUGAUCAUCAUACGUCACGCGGGGCGCGUGAAAGCGUUUUACAAUUCAUUCCUUUUCCUCAGCAGCAGUUUUUUUAAACACCUAUCACAGCGUUGUUGAAUGGAAAUCUCAGCUGCACUCCUUAUAGUUCUGUGUCUCUUUUUGUCUUUGUGGUUUGUACCUGCAUGCUGCUUGUCCUCAAGUGAUUCACUUAAUCUUGUUGUGAUAUAUCCAUCUAUCUUACACUCAUGUUGGUACAUAAAUAGAAACUUCAUUACCAGAGAGAAGAUUUAAUUAAGGCUCAUCAGAAAUGAAGGAGAGACCAAAGACCCCUUGAUGUGAUUGUUUUAGAUUUACCAAAUGAGGGCUAUUGCUAUGCAACAAAAAAAGAGACAAAGGAUUCGCGGAGACAAACUCUCAGGGUCUUCAUAUUUCCGUCAACUUACUUCUGAGAGGAAUUGGCCUUCGGGUUGUCACGGCAACGCAAUGCGUAGCUAGAUGGAAAAGAAUUAGCUUCGACAAUGAAAAAAUAAAAUAAGAAUAAAAGGGGGAGAGAGAGCGAGAGAGAGACGAUCUGAGAAGAGGCUGGUUAGUCAGAAGCCGUAGUAUGUGACCAUGAUACUGUAAUAUAUUUGGCCCCAGAAGCACAAUAGCUACAAUAUCUGAUUUAUUAUUCUCUCUCACAGACACAGACACACAUGGGCACACACACACACACAUACACACACUGUGUGUUGUUUACUACUCAGGGCCAUUGUACACCCACCAUGUCAAACAAAUAUCCCUGCAAACAUAGACAGAAUCAUAUUCUGAUAAUGUUAUUUCCUAACUGUAAUGUUCAAGUAUCAAUUAAAGCAUUUAUUUGGCAUCAAUACCUUAUUUCAAU